AACGGUAAGUAAAUUACAAAACAUUUACUCAAAUGACAGCAACUAGAACUGAGAUCUGUACUGGAUAUUAAACCACAGCAAAUACUUUUUAAUUUCUUGCAGCAUCAGAAAGAAUAAUUCACCUCAGGAUUCCAAAAGAAACCACAGUGGGAAAAAUCAUUGAGUCAAGUAUCAAAAUGUUGGGAGUGACAGAAGAAAAGAGCCUUUUUGCACUGAAAGAGAAACAAGGUUCAACACAAGAACUCGCACCAGAUCAACAGAUUGGAAGUCUACUGAUGUCAUCAUCUUCAUCAUCAUCAUCCUCAUCGUCUCUAGAGAACAGACAGUUGGAGCUUCACUUGUGUAAAGUGAGCAAACCAACAAAGUGUGCUUCUCAAGAGAGUCCAGAGGCUACAUGCAGCAGUCAAAAUGCUAACAUCAACAUAAAACUCAAUGGAAACCAACCAGCUAAAGAAGAAAGGAUAAGAGAGCUGAACCAACAGGUGGAGUCGCUACAAAACGUCAUUCUACAGGUCCAGGAACUCCAUCACGGCCUAGUAGCUUUUUGCUCAGAGCUAAAGAACACAGAAGAAGAAGGAGCCAUGGACAACCUUGGCUCUGCUGAGCUGAAGCAGAAAGUGGAGUUUGUAAUCGGUCGACUGAACGAUAAGCGGCAGAACCUGCAGACCCUCAGAGAAAGCAUGAACAACUUUACCGCUCACAAGAAGAAACAGUUGGAGGUCCGUCUCCUGGAAAAGAUGAAGCUGAACUGCCAAGUGUUUAAAGAGGAGAUUUCAAUGGUGCACCUUAAUCGGCAGUUGGCUCACCUCCAAAAUGCGCUGCAUGAAAGCUACAUAAAGGAGAAAGCAAAUAAUUUGACCACGGGUAGCCUGAGCCAACUGAUGUCUUCACAGUCUCCAGCCAUGCUCCUGCUUGUACAGGAGAACCAGAGUCCUGACGGCCAUUACGGCUUUGUGUGUCACCAUAGUGAAGAGAGCGGACUCGUUGUCGUCAAGGCGACCGAGUCUCACCUUUGCGUGAAUGACAGGCUGGUAGAGGUGAACAGGGUGCCAGUUGUCAAUUCCACACUUGAGGAGCUUGCUGAGCUCCUCGUGAAGGAACAAACGGCACAAAUUGUUGUUUCUUCGCCAGACGCCGCCAACGCUCACCUCGCCUUUGAUUCUGCAACAGAAGGUUGUCUCUGGUCCUGUGCAAGCCAUCAGCAAGCAAGGAGAUAAACUGGACCCAGAUGGACUCCCACAGAGAAAAGUGAUGGCCAUAUAAAUAAUACAUCAGGAGGAAUCAUUGAAUUUAUUAUUAUUAUUAUUAUUAUUAUUACUUAUUUAUUUAUUUUAUUAUGUCUUUAUGUUGCAUUUUUGUCAUGUUGUGGAAUGUUCCAGAAAAAAAAAACAUUAUUUCACUUUAUUAUAUUUAAUUAAAUGCUGCAUCCAGAUAUUCCCAAAAUACAAAAUUGGAAGAAACGAAUACACUUCCUACAAAAAAGCUCAUGUUUCCAUGUAUCAGAAUCAGAAUCAAUUUGAUUUGUCAUUUCGCAUAUUACAGAGCAACGAAAUUUCAUUGUAAGUUAAUCCCAUCCAAGAAACAUCAAAAGACAAUCAUGGGAGGACAGGAGCAAAAGAACUGUGGGUUGCCACAAGGGCGGCGCCCCGUAUUUAGAGAAAAAGUGGGAGAACAACAGGAGGAGAGGUGAGGAGAAAAGGCCAGGUUUUAAACUGAGCUCCCUAUUGGGGAGGGACAGUAUAAAACUAGAAAAAAAUAUAUAUUUCUAUGUAUAAUCUAGUAAUCAGCAAGCAAUUUUUUUCCCUUUAAUGUAUGUGUAAAGCAAUGCAUACCAGGAAUAAAAAAUGAAAAAACUGAAUGAGAUUCUGUGUA
ensembl:lncRNA